GAGCAGAAACCAAAGCCAUGAAGGGAAAAUAUAGCAGCCAUUACAUGCUAUUUGACCUUCCAUUGUCAGGAGUAAGGACAGUUACAGCCUGCUCUUGUAAUUUGCCGGAUGGCACAUGCACACAGCAAUUGGAACUCAUUUUGUUCAUCUCAUCAUUUAAACACAAAAACAUGGUAUUAAAAACUUUUUUUCUGUGCAAAAGGCAUAAAUUCCAAACAUUCAUUUAGGAAACAGUUUUUGUCUAUUUCUGAUGCCACAAUGAGUCAUUGCAUUUCAUACAUUUUAAUGUACAGUACAUUCAUCUCUGUGCCAAGAUGACAUGUUAUUUUAAAACUUAUCUGUUAACACAGCAAGCCUUUCCCUUACCUUACAUAAUUAAACAUUUUAUUAUUGGGUAUAUGGAAAAGAUUGAGACUCUUUUUACAUUACAGGCAUCACAGGUUUUUAACUACCCCUUGCCUAAAUAAAAUUUUAUUAUUUUAUUUUAUUCUUUUUUAAAAAUCGCUGCUUUAUUACACAACUUACAUAAUAAUUCAAAUGAUUUCAGGUUGAUGGCAUAGGCUGGUAGAACCUGCACUCUGAAGGCAGAGACAGGACGAUUCUGAGUUUAUGGCCAGCCUGGGUUACAUAGUGAGACCAUGUCUAAAAAGUUAACUUCAACAUGUUUGGAAGAGUUAUGUGGGGAAAAUAUUCUCCAGUCAAAAUUUCGGUAUUUAGAGACGAGGAAAAUGGUGCAAGAGUCUUGAACCCCUUACUAUGAAUAAAGACCAGUGAGGUUUAUGGGUGAGAUUCUUCCUUCCCUGCUCUCUCAAGGCAGCCUGAGGACAGGGUAGGCAGUCUAUAGGGUCCAGAAGGUUUCACCUGUGGUCCUGGCACCCUCUCUCCUACUCCCAUCUCAGUAUCACCCCUCUAGGUUCCUCCCUCAGAGCCUUAAUUUCUUUAGCAUCCAAGUUAUUCAUGUUCCCUUUAUGAGGUACCGUCUUCCCCUCUACAAAGUGGGAUCUCCCAUUAUCUGUACAUACAUAUACAUAGUGCCUGAUUGCCACUAUCUGCUCAGAGCAGAUACACAAUGGGGAUUGGCGAGGGGGGGGGCGCAAAAGGAAGCUGCAUUCUCAGCAGUAACUCUACGGCUCGUGAUUUAUCUGGUGGCUCUGCCUGAGACUCAGGGUGUCUUAGUUAGUGUUCUAUUGCUGUAAAGAGACACCAUGACCAAGGAGGCUCUUACAAAAGAAAGCAUGUAAUUGGGGAGCUUGCUUAUCCUUUCAGAGGUUUAGUCCACUAUCGUCAUGGAGGGGAGUGUGGUGACAUGCAAGCAGGUGCUGGAGCAGUAGCUGAGAGUUACAUCAUGACGGCAGGCAGAGAGAGACUAUGGGUUUUAGCAUGGGCUUUUGAGACCUCAAAGCCCACCCCUAGUGACAUACUUCCUCCAACAAGGCCACACCUCCUCCAACAAGGCCACACCUACUCCAACAAAGCCACACCUCCUAAUCCUUCUUAAGCAGUGCCACUCCCUGAUGACUAAGGAUUCAAAUAUAUAAGCCACAGGGGCCAUUCUUACUCAAACCAUCCCACAGGGGCAGAUUCCCCAAAUGCUAGUGGAUUUGUUUACAGCAUCUUCACAACGUUCUUAUUUACUGGGAACUGUGUCCCUUUUACAGCACCAAGAAACAAAUAAUUCCUACCCAACAUGUAUUUACUUUCUUAACUAUUUCUAACUUCGGGGAGAAACUUUCUUCAAAGUCGAUGCUGCCUUCAUUUACCCUGGACUUCCCCACCUAUACCCCCAGGAUCCCAGAGGCUAGCAUGCUUGAGACCUAAUGGAUCUGUAGGGUGCUGGCCGUCCCUUUCUGGUGUGUCUCCUGAAUUUUACAGAACCAUCUGGGGGUCCUCAUCUGGCUCCUUUCCCUACAGAUAAUCCAGUGUGCACAUGGACACAGGACAGUCCACUGUUUUGUUUGUUUGAAGAUUUAUUUAUUAUAUAUACAUUGUUCUGCCUGCAUGUAUGCCUGCAGGCUAGAAGAGGAUGUCAGAUCUCAUUAUGAAUGGUUGUGAGCCAUCUGCAGGUGCUGAGAAUUGAACUCAGGACCUCUGAAAGAGCAUCCAGUACUCUUAAACUCUGAGCCAUCUCUCCAGCCCUGUUCUUUUGUUUUGUUGUUUUGGGAAACGGUUUCUCUGUAUAGCCCUGGCUGUCCUGGAGCUCGCUCCUGGUGCCUCUGUCUCUGGAAUGCUAAGAUUAAAGUUGUGUACCACCAUGACCAGCUCUGUUUUUGUUGUGGUUCAGUUUUGAAACAUGGUCUCAUACUGUAGUCCACACUGCACAGAACAGUGGUGCAGCUGACCUUGAAUUCACAUCAAUCCUCCUGCCUCAUCUGAGUGCCUGAAUUACAGGUGAGAAGUACCACAUCUGGCUGACCAUUCAGCUUCCUAAAAACACCUUCAUUGAUCCAGUCGUGGGAAGAAUCCGUUAUGUCCACAUUGUCAACCCUACCACCAGUACCUCUCCUGCUCAAAUGUUAAGGCUUUCUGAAGUUGGGUACCACGCUACUGUUUAACAUUUAUCACCCCAAACUUGUUACCACGCUGAUGACCACAGUAGUGGCCUUUACUCCAUCGCCACCUGUCACAUCUAGUGUCCCGAUCAAUCUACUGUUUGCUCUUCUGGUUUUCUCUCUUUUAGGAGAAUAGAGGUCACCAAACAAGGUGACCAACGUAUUGGCAGGAGCUUAGGUGGCAAUUUGAGUGGAAGCCUGACCCCAGGACAGGGGUACUGGGAGUCGGGUAGGGGGUGGGAAAGAAUUGCAAACCGCCUGAGGAAUGCUCUGUGGUUAUUGAGUGAGGUAUGCAACGUACCUGGGACAAACGAAACACCCUCAAGUUGUUGUUUUAAGAAGAAACAAAUGAUUCCAUAGAAUACAACGAAUAUCAUAGACCCAGCACGGAUUCUAUUCAUUUUUACCCCGCUUCCGCAGUAAAGGGUGAUUUUUACACUUUCUGAGCAUCUACUCAGUGUAGGAAGUGUAGGUUUCAUGCCACUGAUAAAAGAAAAUUAGUUUCUUGACCAUAUCCAUUCUCCUUUACCCCCCCCCCAUUUGUCUCCUUGCCAAGUAGCCUUCCUGCUACUUUUGACUUUUUAAACAUUUAUUUUUUUCAAAAUAAAGUGUAGGUGUGUGUUUGUGCACGCCGCAGAUCUCCCCCGAACUUGAGUUAAGGGGCAGGGUGAGACGCGGGUUGUGGGUGAUGGGAACCGAACCCGCUUUCUCUGCAAGAGCGGUACUUUUGACCUCCGAGCCGCCUCGCCAGUCUCUCCCCUUUGUAUUUUCAUAAAGCACGGCGUUUUAAAAAUUCUGGUUUUAAGAAAGAAACAGAUAUUCCGAGGUUUCUAGCUCUUUGGGUUUUAAACGGUGGAACUUAGUUUUAAGAUGAAAAGAAAGGAAACACCUGCAGCUUGGACCCCCGAGGCCCCUCGGGCUGAGCCGCCCGCCGGGGCUGUCUGCGCGGUUCGCCUUCUCGCCAUCGGAAGGGCGGGUCGGGGAUCCGGGUUCGCUUCCCGAGGACGGCAGCCGCGGGGUCGCUCGGUCCGCCCCUGCCAGGCCGGUCUGCGCGUGCCGGGGGCUGGAUCUCACGGAGCGAAGCCCCGCAGAGGAUGCCGUCGCUCGCCCGCAGGCUUGGCCGUGCGAGCCCCUCGUGGGACCCUCGUCCAGUCGCUCCUGGAUCCACCGGUCCCCAGACACCGGCUCGUAGCCAGCUCAAGACUACUUGCCCAAGACCACGGUGUCACCCACACUCUGCUAGGACCUACUAUGUCAAUUAGGCCACCUGAUGCAAUCUCUCACAGACAUGCCCACAGACCAACUUGAUAAAGACAGUUCCUCAGGGGAGACUCAGUUUCUGCAGCCUUCCAAGACAACACCGUUAGCUGAGGACCAAGUGUCACACAAGUGAACCUAUGGAGGAUACCCCACAUUUCAAACCACAGCAUUUAUCUACCAAAAUUUCAAACUGCCAGGGCUUCUGACACACCUGCUGACAACAGGGAGAAUGCCAAGAAUAACUCAGGUGCUCUUCAGUUUAUGACAAGAUGACCAGACACCUCAAGAGGAGAGCAUCAGGCCUCUGACAGAGGAAAAGCAAAGGAUGAAUGACAGCUUGAACCUGGCAGAUCAAGAGACUGCUAAGCCUCCAUGGUUUCAAGGGCCAAUUUUCCUCCAUCCCGCCCUCCUCACCAUGAGAAACUGAAGAAAGUGGAGAAAACCAGCUAAGCACAUGUGUUCAUUUACUCAUUGCUUCCUGGUUGUAAAUGAGGUGUGACUCCUUCUCAGAAGAGGCCUCCUCUGCCACAGUGGUGAGGACAAAGGCUCCUUGCCUAAGGAAAUAGUGGCCCCUCCUGAAACAGUUGCUAUGCUCCUAGUCCCUAAGAAGCUGGGAGACACAGAGUGGCGCACAGGGAAGGAAGCACACUGUAUUUCAAAAGAAUGACUCAAGUUUUCUAAUCUGUUAGAGCUGAAAUCAGAAGACCAUGAAUAUACAAAGAUAUUCAAGGGGCGAGGCAAUUGGGGUGCAUAAAAGUUUCAUCAGGCAAAAUGCAUUUAUAUUAUAUGGAUCAAAAGAUGAGCCACCAUGAGUGUGCUGUAGAGUUUUAUGUCAGCUUGACACAGCUAAUGUCAUCUGAGAGAUAGAAACCUCAAUUAAGAAAAUGCCUCCAUAGGAUCAGGAUGCCCGCAAGUCUGCAGAGAAUAUCUUAAUUAGUGAUUGAUGGGGGAGGGCCCAGUCCAUUGUGGGUGGUGCCAUCCCUGGACUGGGUUCUAUAAGAGAGCAGGCUGAACAAACCAUGGAGAGCAAGUCAGUAAGCAGCACCCCUCCAUGGCCUCUGCAUCAGAUCCUGCCUCCAAGUUCUUGCCCUGUGUGAGUUCUUGUCCUGACUUCCUUCAGUGAUGAACUGUGAUGCUGAAGCAAAAGCUGAAUAAAUCCUUUCCUUCCCAAGUUUCUUUGGUCAUGGUAUUUCAUCACAGCAGUAGUGACCCUAAGACAAUGAGACAUCUAGAGAUAUCCGCCUUUUUUGGCUUCAUGUAGAGGAAGAUUUAAAAGCAAAGGGAGAUCAAAAUGCUUAGUGGCUUUGCCAUUUAAGACCUAUUCAUUUGCACUGUGGGGUUCAUUUCACCCAUACCCUGAG
ensembl:lncRNA